AUUGAACGCUGGCGGCAGGCCUAACACAUGCAAGUCGAGCGGAUGAAGGGAGCUUGCUCCUGGAUUCAGCGGCGGACGGGUGAGUAAUGCCUAGGAAUCUGCCUGGUAGUGGGGGAUAACGUCCGGAAACGGGCGCUAAUACCGCAUACGUCCUGAGGGAGAAAGUGGGGGGUCUUCGGACCUCACGCUCUCAGAUGAGCCUAGGUCGGAUUAGCUAGUUGGUGGGGUAAAGGCCUACCAAGGCGACGAUCCGUAACUGGUCUGAGAGGAUGAUCAGUCACACUGGAACUGAGACACGGUCCAGACUCCUACGGGAGGCAGCAGUGGGGAAUAUUGGACAAUGGGCGAAAGCCUGAUCCAGCCAUGCCGCGUGUGUGAAGAAGGUCUUCGGAUUGUAAAGCACUUUAAGUUGGGAGGAAGGGCAGUAAGUUAAUACCUUGCUGUUUUGACGUUACCAACAGAAUAAGCACCGGCUAACUUCGUG
rnacentral:rRNA from 1 species